rnacentral:rRNA from 1 species
ACUCGAUAAUCCACGAAUACCAAACCUUCUCUUGAUAACCAGCAUGUGUACUGCCGUUGCAAGCAUACCUUUAAAAGACUAGUAUGCUACUAUGAAAAUUAAAAGCCCAUAGACAUCAGGUCAAAGUGCAGCUAAUGAAAAGGUGAUGAUGGGUUACAACCCUAAUAAAGGACCAUUGACUAAGAAAUCAAAACCUCUUAAGAAAUUGGACUUGGCCGUAACCAAAUUUAAAAUAAAGAAAUGAACCUUAUCUAAGACAUGUACACAUCGCCCGUCACUCUACCCUAAAGGGUAGAUAAGUCGUAACAAAGUAGGUGUAAUGGAAAUUGCACCUGUCGGGGUAUAGCAUAUAAAAUGCUUUUUACUUACACUAAAAAAAAAGUUAAUAAACUUGCUCCGCCCACACAUAAAGCCCCUAUAAAAUAUAAAUAAUAGAACCUAUAGACACAAAAACUAAGUACAGUACAGAAAUGGAAAAAUAAAAUGAAAUAAAGUAAUUUUUAACAAAUAUACCUUGUGCAUUAUGGUUUUACAAGAAAAUAGUUAAACACACAUAUCCCGAAUUCUCAAUGAGUUGUUAAACUGCUGUCAUGAACCCAUUAAUAACUGUAGAAAAAGCUUUAAAAGACAGUUUAACAGAGGCUACAUACCAUACGCAUAAGAAUAUAGCUGGUUUUCAACAAACAUUAUACAUUAAAACAUAUAAUAGCAUUAUAGUGUAAUAUUAUUGAGGACAAGCCCAAUAAUUUAAUGCAAUAAAUAAAAAUAUCUAAAUACAGCCGUAGGCCUAAAAUCAGCCAAAUAAAAUACUUUACCGUAAUAAAUAUAGAAAUAUAUAAAUACACCCAACUAUGCAGAAGGAAGUUGAAAUGGCAGAUAAACUAUACUAACUCCGCCUAUAAUAUGUAAAAAUAAGUAUUACCUCUUAUUAUCAAACAAUAAUCAAGAAUAAACAUCUAGUGCAGAAACAAUAAUUAAUUAAGGAACUCGGCAAAUAACUAUUUCGACUGUUUAACAAAAACAUUGUCUUAUGAACUAUAUAUUAGAUAAUACCUGCCC